CCUCACAAUUAAAUUUAAUUUAAUACCUUCUUUUCUUCAAUUCUACUUCCACUUUUAUUUCUCAAAACCCUUCACCAAUAUGUACUCUACUCGUAUGCAUUCUCAAUUCUUGAUUUAAAUAAGCUUUGUUCCCAAUAUAUACAUGCUCUCUCUCUCUCUCUCUCUCUCUCUCUCUAAUAUACAUAUAUAUUAUCAAGAAAUUAAUCUUCCAGCGCCUGAUUUAAUCCCAAAUUGCAUGCAGUUCAAUUCUCUAGUACAAGGUGUUGCAGAGAUGAAGAAGUGUGCUGGGGAGAGCCCAAAACUUGAGUUGAAACUGAACUUGUCCCCUCCGGGGGAACACCGACAAGUGGUGUCCCCGAGAGGGGCAGAGAUAUCGCCCCAGAGCUCGUGUGUGUCGCGGGAGACGAGCCCGGAGGCGAUGUCGAUGAUGUUGGUGGGAUGCCCUCGUUGCCUAAUGUAUGUUAUGCUGUUUCAGGACCACCCCAAGUGCCCCAAGUGUAAGAGUACUGUUUUGCUCAAUAUCACACUCACCACCUGAUGCCAACUCACUCCUCCUAAUUAUCACCUCUAUCCAUUUAUUUCUUUUCUUCUUUUAAAAAAACCAGUCUCGUCUUUGCUUCAUGUAUAAGAUAUAGAAAAGAGGAAUGAAUUGAAUAUGGGGUGGUUUUGUAAUUUCACUACUUGAGUUGUGUCUAUGCUUAUAUCA